AGGAUGAACGCUAGCGGCAGGCUUAACACAUGCAAGUCGAGGGGUAUAUGUCUUCGGAUAUAGAGACCGGCGCACGGGUGCGUAACGCGUAUGCAAUCUACCUUUUACAGAGGGAUAGCCCAGAGAAAUUUGGAUUAAUACCUCAUAGUAUAGCUCUACCGCAUGGUAGUACUAUUAAAGUCACAACGGUAAAAGAUGAGCAUGCGUCCCAUUAGCUAGUUGGUAAGGUAACGGCUUACCAAGGCAACGAUGGGUAGGGGUCCUGAGAGGGAGAUCCCCCACACUGGUACUGAGACACGGACCAGACUCCUACGGGAGGCAGCAGUGAGGAAUAUUGGACAAUGGGCGCAAGCCUGAUCCAGCCAUGCCGCGUGCAGGAUGACGGUCCUAUGGAUUGUAAACUGCUUUUGUACGAGAAGAAACACUGCUUCGUGAAGCAGCUUGACGGUAUCGUAAGAAUAAGGAUCGGCUAACUCCGUGCCAGCAGCCGCGGUAAUACGGAGGAUCCAAGCGUUAUCCGGAAUCAUUGGGUUUAAAGGGUCCGUAGGCGGUUUAGUAAGUCAGUGGUGAAAGCCCAUCGCUCAACGGUGGAACGGCCAUUGAUACUGCUGAACUUGAAUUAUUAGGAAGUAACUAGAAUAUGUAGUGUAGCGGUGAAAUGCUUAGAGAUUACAUGGAAUACCAAUUGCGAAGGCAGGUUACUACUAAUUGAUUGACGCUGAUGGACGAAAGCGUGGGGAGCGAACAGGAUUA
rnacentral:rRNA from 1 species